UGCUGUUGCCCGCAAGAUGGCCUACAAGGUUUUCUGCUGCGCGUCGAGCCCGGCCGCCGGGCAACAACUGCAGGUCACUGGGGCUCAACGACGACUACAAAGGCCACAGCGGCGGAAAUUGGAUCAGGCAAGUUGUUUGCCCCGCUCCACAACUCUUGCUGAUAACAUGUUCGUUCCGUGCUGAUUAUUUGUCUCAUCCGUAUAACACUGAUUGGUCUUCUCUCUUACUUUUCCUGAUUCUAUUUGUAUGAGACAUCUUAUGUUUAUGGUUUCUGUGUCAAGUUCGGCCACCAUUGAGUUUUGAGAUUGAAAUACUCUUCUUUGUGGAAGCAUUUAGGAUGAGAUGAGCAUGCAAUAUGUCAUUGCAGCUAUACCUAGAUAUGCUCUUUACGGCACUGAAUUUUAUACACUGUAUCUUCAGCAGACUAGAAACAUCAUUGUUAUUGGGUUUUUGGAACAAACGGUUGGCUGGUUUGUUUUAUGACGACAUAAUCUAGAUGAAGAUAAGCAAGAGGUAUGGUCUAAUAUCUAUUACAUAUGCAAACGGUGUAUCUCUGGUUGCAUAAAAUUUAUUUUUGUGUCCUACCUGAAAACAGAUGGUUACCCUUAGCUAAGAGAUCUAAAAUUUGUGCAGGCAUAUUCAGAAUGAUUUUUGCUGAAAACAAACAUGUCUUGGAAGUCUCUGAUUGGUGGCUUAUGUCUUCAGAAAUUAUACAUUUACGGAGGAUGGAUCACCUUUUAGGUGAGAACAAAAAUAUGUUCUUCCAGAUUAUUUUGGUGUCUGGCGGUACACGCACAUUUCAUGGUUUUGUUCUCAUUUAUCUCUUUCUUAGUUCUUGUGCUUUCUUUUCAUUUGGUUGCAGAACAAUUUCUUUAAAAAAGGGAAACAAAUAAUAGCUUAAUGGGUCUAAUACAUUUUUCUAUAUUCAGGUUGUCACGUUGUGAAAGCCAACCCGCUGCAAGAAAAUGUCAUGCGGAGAAACUAUGAUUUCCAUAAAGAGCAUGUUAUUUUAAUUCACACAAGUUUCUGCGUAACAAUUAAUGAUAAUAGCUGCAUAUAACAAUGAUUUGGCAGCCUGGAAAUGUCUAUUUUACUGGUCCUUAUAAGGGCAUUGAUGCAUUGAAACAAUAUUAUAUUGAGCUCCAUGAGGGACCAUGUUGCAAGUUCACUGAGGUUAUCAAAUGGUCAUUUUAAUUUUCAGAUAGUUCCAUCUAAACACUAUUUGCCAAUAUCUUUAGUCAUUAGUAGCUAGGAGGCCAAACAAAAAUGUAAUAACCAGAUCCAAACAUCAGUCAUGCUCCUGUAUGUGUCGCUAGAGUAAACAGAUCCAAACAUCAGUCGUGGUCCUGUAUGUGAAGCUAGAGUAACCUGAUGAUGGCUUCAUGGGUUUUGGUUUUGUUACCUGGACCAGGAAUAUACUAUUCCACCACAUGUGAUCUUCUGAAAUAAUGGAGAAGUUCAUGAGAGUUUGCUGCUGGGCAACAUUUUUCUUUUCCUGCCAAUAGUUCUUGAGUUUGUUAGUGAGCACCAAUUCUUUUUCUGAGAAGAGCAGUCAUUUGUAGUCUAAUUGGAUGCCCCAGUCUGCAGUCAUCUAUAUACAUGCACCCCUGAUUCUAAAAACGCCAUUGUUCCACUUUAUCCCCUAUUAGGGCAAGUAGGCAACAAGGCAGUUAUCUUUAGAGUAACCAUAUAAACAUGAGUUGGCAGUUGCUCUCUGUACUUCGGAAACUCAGAUAUGUGUCUGUGCUAUGAUAAAAUGCUUCUACUGUUCCUGAACCUCCCUGUUGCAAUGUGCACUUUGGUGUUUUUAUUCUUAAGUCAUCAUUUUUUGAUUUCUAGGUGUAGAAUGGAUCUUUUGUGCUGCAUGGUUUUACAUGCAUCUCAUUGUGUUAUUGCCCUGCUAGAUUUUAGGAAUUUAGCAUUGACAAUAUUGUAAUUUAGGGAUGUACGGCUGAUACUGGUUGGCUAAUAGUAUUGACAAUAUACCUAACACUUAAUUUAGGUAUUCUGCUUAUUUCCGUACCGCGCCCGAGGUGAUGUCCGUCAGUGUUUUCAUUUCCUAUUUGGUUCAGGUUUCUAAAAAAAUGAUUGAUACUUCAAACUAUAAAUGAGAGGGAGAUAGAUUUUAUAUGGGAUUUUGCAGUGUACCCAUCCAGACAUUGCAAAUAACAUAUUGUUUUGUUUCCAUAUAAACUUGUUGUCGUUUUUCAGUGAAAUGGGACUACUUCACUACCUGCAGUUUAUUCCUUGAUUUUCGGUCUGAAAUAUUUUUUCUGUGCUACACUUCAUUUCUAAUUGAUCUACAUUUCUGCAUGACCAACACCGCUCUCACAUGAUUUGACCAAAAAUGGUACUCAUUGUGAAGUGUCAUGCUUAAACCUAACUGUACAAAAGCAACUUGUGAUUUGCGGGCUUAUGAUACGAUUUCAGUGAGAAGUUCCCUCUUAUGGGUUAGGGCUCUGACAAUAUCUGAUGGAGUUCUUGAAGUAGUGGUUUUGAACUUGAUCAGGAGGAAACAAGCCCGAAGUUGGUAUCUUCUGAUCGUUGACUAUGGUUGAUCCAGUACUAGAAGGAUGAAAGAACCUUGCCAUGGUUGGUUCCCUGCUACUUUGUACAAGAGCUAGCAUUCACAUUCUUCAAACUUCAGAACAAACCUGCUUGAAAACAAUGAAGAUAUCCACAUUAUUCAAACUUCUGGAUGAAGCAGCUUUUCUUGGGCCGCUGUCAAGGCCACUGUAAAAGAGGACAUAUGGGAAUGAGAAAGUUGGGGCCCUACGAGGGUUUCUGCAACUUGACCCUGCAUGUCUCCCCAUGCAUGGACAAAGUUCAGCAUUUUCUUCUAUUACUCUCGACUCUUGCAUGUCUCCUGACAAGAAAGAGGGCAUCAUCAGUAGAACAAGGAAAUAUUUUCAGCUAUGGGCGCUAGCUAGGCUUCCGGCAGGUGUGCAUCAGUAGU